UUUAUGGAGAGUUUGAUCCUGGCUCAGGAUGAACGCUGGCGGCGUGCCUAAUACAUGCAAGUCGAGCGAACGGACGAGAAGCUUGCUUCUCUGAUGUUAGCGGCGGACGGGUGAGUAACACGUGGAUAACCUACCUAUAAGACUGGGAUAACUUCGGGAAACCGGAGCUAAUACCGGAUAAUAUUUUGAACCGCAUGGUUCAAAAGUGAAAGACGGUCUUGCUGUCACUUAUAGAUGGAUCCGCGCUGCAUUAGCUAGUUGGUAAGGUAACGGCUUACCAAGGCAACGAUGCAUAGCCGACCUGAGAGGGUGAUCGGCCACACUGGAACUGAGACACGGUCCAGACUCCUACGGGAGGCAGCAGUAGGGAAUCUUCCGCAAUGGGCGAAAGCCUGACGGAGCAACGCCGCGUGAGUGAUGAAGGUCUUCGGAUCGUAAAACUCUGUUAUUAGGGAAGAACAUAUGUGUAAGUAACUGUGCACAUCUUGACGGUACCUAAUCAGAAAGCCACGGCUAACUACGUGCCAGCAGCCGCGGUAAUACGUAGGUGGCAAGCGUUAUCCGGAAUUAUUGGGCGUAAAGCGCGCGUAGGCGGUUUUUUAAGUCUGAUGUGAAAGCCCACGGCUCAACCGUGGAGGGUCAUUGGAAACUGGAAAACUUGAGUGCAGAAGAGGAAAGUGGAAUUCCAUGUGUAGCGGUGAAAUGCGCAGAGAUAUGGAGGAACACCAGUGGCGAAGGCGACUUUCUGGUCUGUAACUGACGCUGAUGUGCGAAAGCGUGGGGAUCAAACAGGAUUAGAUACCCUGGUAGUCCACGCCGUAAACGAUGAGUGCUAAG
rnacentral:rRNA from 1 species